AGUCUAACGGAAACACUUCUGCACAAACUGAAGACACCAGUGUGUGGAAAGGUUUCUGCUACAUG
rnacentral:pre_miRNA from 1 species